GCGCAACCUAUUUCUUUGUCAAACUCUCCUUCUCUCUCAUCUGCAACUCCGCCUCUUAGAUCUCCCUCUCUGUUUCUCUCUGUUUUUGAGAUGGUCAAAAGAUUUGAUAACUGGAGAGUCAAUUCUGCGAGCCUUGAUCCCUCUCUAUGCAGAUCCAUAACUAUGGAUUUGAAUUCACAGGGUUUCCCCAAUUGCUCUGUUCUUCUGUGGAGAAUUUCUAAAUGAUUGAUAUUGGUGGAGGGAGUGGAGAAUUGAAAUGCCUGCCAAGUCCUGCACUGUAUUUGUGAAGAGCAUCAUAGGCAUCCCUGGACUUGAGGUUGGAUCUCAAUUUUGCACUGUCUUGCUGCCCCAGAUUCGGAAUACAGUCACAUAGGAAAACAAGAUUGAUAUUGGUGGAUGGAGUGGAGAAUUCAAAUGCCUGCCAAGUCCUGCACUGCAUUCGUGAAGAGGAUCAUUGGCAUCCCUGGACUCCCAUCAUCUUUGGUUCAGGGGCUUGAAGUAGGAUAUCAAUUUUGCAUGCCCGUCUUGUUUCGGAAUACAGUCACAUAGGAAAACAAGUUUCUCAGAUUGAUAUUGGUGAAGGGAUUGGAUAAUUCAAAUGCCUGCCGUGUUCUGCAUUGCAUUUCUGAAGGCAACGGAAUUUUUUGCCCUUUUGUUUUCGUUUUCUUUUUUGGCCUGAAGUUGAGUUGGGUUUAUUUCUAUUGAAUUCGGCUUGUAGUUAAAUUUUUGAUCUGAGCUAUUUUGUUUUGGUGAUUUUGUAUUUCAGAGGAUUGAGGGGAUUUAUUUAUCUGAGCUAUUUUCGGCUUGUAGUUAAAUUUCUAUGUUAAUAUUUGUUUGGCAUUUAUUUCUAUGUUAA